rnacentral:misc_RNA from 1 species
UGAAAUGCGAUAAGUAAUGUGAAUUGCAGAAUCUCGUGAAUCAUUGAAUCUUUGAACGCACAUUGCGCCCUAUGGUAUUCCGUAGGGCAUGCCUGUCUGAGCGUCAGCUCGUCUUCUCAAGCUCUUUUGCUUGGAUAACAUUGGAAUUGCAAUACACGCUCCAUUCGGAGUCUGUGUGCAAUCCAGAAAUAUAUAGGCGGUACGGUUCUAGCAAACCAGACGUAAUAAUAUUCUUAUAUCGUUAAUUUGUUGAAGCUGUUGCUUGCCUUUUAAUCCACAUCUUUCUCAAGAUGACCUCAGAUCAGGUAGGGAUACCCGCUGAACUUAA